rnacentral:rRNA from 1 species
GAUGAACGCUGGCGGCGUGCCUAAUACAUGCAAGUCGAGCGAAUGGAUUGAGAGCUUGCUCUUAUGAAGUUAGCGGCGGACGGGUGGGUAACACGUGGGUAACCUGCCCAUAAGACUGGGAUAACUCCGGGAAACCGGGGCUAAUACCGGAUAACAUUUUGAACCGCAUGGUUCGAAAUUGAAAGGCGGCUUCGGCUGUCACUUAUGGAUGGACCCGCGUCGCAUUAGCUAGUUGGUGAGGUAACGGCUCACCAAGGCAACGAUGCGUAGCCGACCUGGGAGGGUGAUCGGCCACACUGGGACUGAGACACGGCCCAGACUGCUACGGGAGGCAGCAGUAGGGAAUCUUCCGCAAUGGACGAAAGUCUGACGGAGCAACGCCGCGUGAGUGAUGAAGGCUUUCGGGUCGUAAAACUCUGUUGUUAGGGAAGAACAAGUGCUAGUUGAAUAAGCUGGCACCUUGACGGUACCUAACCAGAAAGCCACGGCUAACUACGUGCCAGCCGCCGCCGUAA